AACCCUACCAGUAAGCCAAGUUAGAACAACAGGAAGCUCAUCCACCCUCCCUCCCCCACCUCCUUUUUUCUGUUCCUCUGCUGCAGAAACUGUCUGAUGUUCAGAUCAGAGGCUCUCCGGGGUUAAAUGCAUCAUUAGUCACUGGAAAAAAGGGAAAAAAAGACCUUUUAAAAGCAGAUGGUAGAUGAUAGAGAACCUGUUUGAGAGUAACUAUCUACAACAGUGUGUCUGCUUCAUCAGAUAUUAGCAUCAAAAGCUGUCUGACAAUUUAGCAACAAACAGCAAUAUUGAUUUUCUUCCAAAGUGCAGAUGCAGAAAGACAAAGAUGGAGAGGUGGCUUUUUCAGAGGAUCCCCAUUAUGCUUUGGAAAAGACAAGGCAGGAAAGGACCUGCAGCCCCCAGUCCCAUCAGCAGAGCAGGAGCAGGCUGCAGACUAAGCCCCUAAGAAGGGAGAUGAACCGGAAAUCCUGAAGCACGGAGCUGGACAGACGAUGAAGCAGGUCUGCCACUGGAGUGGGACUGCAUAGUUACCGAACUCUCUGCCAAAACCCCUCAGCAUCUCAGAAGUCUGAAGAGGACCUCAAGUAGGACACACACAAAGCCAGUGGGGCAGGAGAAACCGAGCUAAUCAGAAGGCACCAAUCUGGGCACUCCACAGUUCCACAGGCCUAAUUUCCAGGCAGUUUAACAUCUGUGGAUUCCAGUGGGAGUCCUGAGUGCUCAGCUGUUGAGAAAAUCAGAGAAUGGGGGGUUCGGGGUUGGGUUGUUUGUCUCCAUCCCACCGGUGUGACUGGGUUCUGGCGGGGCAAUCAUGACAUCCAGUGGGAAACUCCUGAACUACAGCAGCAUUUUAUGGGUGGAAUGAGCCGCUCCCGAGUCUCAAACUACAAUCGAAGGGUAAGACCAUGGAAGGGAAACUGUUCAAGAAAGCUUCUGGAUGAAUGGCUCAGGACUAAGAGUUUUGUGCCGGUCUCCUGAAAUCUCCAGUAUCUAAAUGUGUUUUGAAAUGCCUCUUCUUGCCAGGGAGAAAAACAUUUUCUCUUUGGGGAAGAGUUGACAACAGCAUCUCAGUGGGAUUAAUCCUCACAAAGGAGUCUCACUUCCAUGAAAGGUUUUCUUUAAUUUUUUUGUUGUUGUCGUUGUUGUUUACCUGUGUGUCUCCCUGACCUUUUGAGAUAUCUCAAUGCCUACAAGGAGGAUGGAGAAGAACUUUUGACAGGGUGGUGACAGGACAAGAGAGAAUGGCCUUAAGCUGAAGAGAGGUAGAGUUAAAUUGAAUAUAAUUUGUCAAGAAAUUGUUCCCUGUGAGGGUGCUGAGGCCCUGGCACAGGUUGCCCAAAGAAGCUGUGGAAGUGUUCAAGACCAGGUUGGACAGGACUUGGAGGAGCCUGGGAUAGUGGAAGGUGUCUCUGCCCAUGGCAGGGAGAAAAAUGAGAUGAGCUUUAAGAUCCUUUCUAACCCCAACCAGCCUGGAAUUCUUAGCAUCCUUAA
rnacentral:lncRNA from 1 species